GGUGGCCUAGUGGCUAGAGUGUCCACCUCGGAUGCGGGAGGUCGCGGAUUCGAAUCACGGCAGAGUCA